rnacentral:rRNA from 1 species
AAUCAAACCGGGAGAUAGCUGGUUCUCCCCGAAAGCUAUUUAGGUAGCGCCUCGUGAAUUCAUCUCCGGGGGUAGAGCACUGUUUCGGCAAGGGGGUCAUCCCGACUUACCAACCCGAUGCAAACUGCGAAUACCGGAGAAUGUUAUCACGGGAGACACACGGCGGGUGCUAACGUCCGUCGUGAAGAGGGAAACAACCCAGACCGCCAGCUAAGGUCCCAAAGUCAUGGUUAAGUGGGAAACGAUGUGGGAAGGCCCAGACAGCCAGGAUGUUGGCUUAGAAGCAGCCAUCAUUUAAAGAAAGCGUAAUAGCUCACUGGUCGAGUCGGCCUGCGCGGAAGAUGUAACGGGGCUAAACCAUGCACCGAAGCUGCGGCAGCGACGCUUAUGCGUUGUUGGGUAGGGGAGCGUUCUGUAAGCCUGUGAAGGUGUGCUGUGAGGUAUGCUGGAGGUAUCAGAAGUGCGAAUGCUGACAUAAGUAACGAUAAAGCGGGUGAAAAGCCCGCUCGCCGGAAGACCAAGGGUUCCUGUCCAACGUUAAUCGGGGCAGGGUGAGUCGACCCCUAAGGCGAGGCCGAAAGGCGUAGUCGAUGGGAAACAGGUUAAUAUUCCUGUACUUGGUGUUACUGCGAAGGGGGGACGGAGAAGGCUAUGUUGGCCGGGCGACGGUUGUCCCGGUUUAAGCGUGUAGGCUGGUUUUCCAGGCAAAUCCGGAAAAUCAAGGCCGAGGCGUGAUGACGAGGCACUACGGUGCUGAAGCAACAAAUGCCCUGCUUCCAGGAAAAGCCUCUAAGCAUCAGGUAACAUCAAAUCGUACCCCAAACCGACACAGGUGGUCAGGUAGAGAAUACCAAGGCGCUUGAGAGAACUCGGGUGAAGGAACUAGGCAAAAUGGUGCCGUAACUUCGGGAGAAGGCACGCUGAUACGUAGGUGAAGCGACUUGCUCGUGGAGCUGAAAUCAGUCGAAGAUACCAGCUGGCUGCAACUGUUUAUUAAAAACACAGCACUGUGCAAACACGAAAGUGGACGUAUACGGUGUGACGCCUGCCCGGUGCCGGAAGGUUAAUUGAUGGGGUUAGCGCAAGCGAAGCUCUUGAUCGAAGCCCCGGUAAACGGCGGCCGUAACUAUAACGGUCCUAAGGUAGCGAAAUUCCUUGUCGGGUAAGUUCCGACCUGCACGAAUGGCGUAAUGAUGGCCAGGCUGUCUCCACCCGAGACUCAGUGAAAUUGAACUCGCUGUGAAGAUGCAGUGUACCCGCGGCAAGACGGAAAGACCCCGUGAACCUUUACUAUAGCUUGACACUGAACAUUGAGCCUUGAUGUGUAGGAUAGGUGGGAGGCUUUGAAGUGUGGACGCCAGUCUGCAUGGAGCCGACCUUGAAAUACCACCCUUUAAUGUUUGAUGUUCUAACGUGGACCCGUGAUCCGGGUUGCGGACAGUGUCUGGUGGGUAGUUUGACUGGGGCGGUCUCCUCCUAAAGAGUAACGGAGGAGCACGAAGGUUGGCUAAUCCUGGUCGGACAUCAGGAGGUUAGUGCAAUGGCAUAAGCCAGCUUGACUGCGAGCGUGACGGCGCGAGCAGGUGCGAAAGCAGGUCAUAGUGAUCCGGUGGUUCUGAAUGGAAGGGCCAUCGCUCAACGGAUAAAAGGUACUCCGGGGAUAACAGGCUGAUACCGCCCAAGAGUUCAUAUCGACGGCGGUGUUUGGCACCUCGAUGUCGGCUCAUCACAUCCUGGGGCUGAAGUAGGUCCCAAGGGUAUGGCUGUUCG